rnacentral:lncRNA from 1 species
GGUUUGACCUUAAUUGGGAGAUAAUAAUUCAAGCCUAACAAGAUUAUUGACCGUAUCAGAUUUCAUGUGAUGAUUUUUUUAUUGGAUCUUGAAAACCCUCCAUCCUUUGUAUGAGUAAGGCUUGAGGACUCUUAUAUUAAAUGCAUGACCUAUAUUUUAGGAUGCUAAUUAAGCUAAGGUACUAUUUGGUAUAUCAUCGGUGAUGUAAUUACUGGAGUGAUUUGAUCGUUGGAAUGAUGUGC